UUUAUUGGAGAGUUUGAUCCUGGCUCAGGACGAACGCUGGCGGCGUGCUUAACACAUGCAAGUCGAACGGACCGGAACUUAGCAAUAGGUGAAGGUUAGUGGCGAACGGGU
rnacentral:rRNA from 1 species